rnacentral:rRNA from 1 species
GUAGGGAAUAUUGGACAAUGGGCGCAAGCCUGAUCCAGCAAUGCCGCGUGAGUGAAGAAGGCCCUAGGGUUGUAAAGCUCUUUCGGCGGGGACGAUGAUGACGGUACCCGCAGAAGAAGCCCCGGCUAACUCCGUGCCAGCAGCCGCGGUAAUACGGAGGGGGCAAGCGUUGUUCGGAGUCACUGGGCGUAAAGGGCGCGUAGGCGGUGCGUAAAGUCAGGCGUGAAAGCCCCGGGCUUAACCUGGGAAUUGCGCUUGAUACUGACGUGCUAGAGAACGGGAGAGGAUGGCGGAAUUCCCAGUGUAGAGGUGAAAUUCGUAGAUAUUGGGAAGAACACCGGUGGCGAAGGCGGCCAUCUGGACCGUUUCUGACGCUGAGGCGCGAAAGCGUGGGGAGCAAACAGGAUUAGAAACCCCGGUAGUCC